AACGAACGCUGGCGGCAGGCCUAACGCAUGCAAGUCGAGCGAAGCCUUCGGGCUUAGCGGCGGACGGGUGAGUAACGCGUGGGAACGUGCCCUUUGCUACGGAAUAGCCCCGGGAAACUGGGAGUAAUACCGUAUGUGCCCUUCGGGGGAAAGAUUUAUCGGCAAAGGAUCGGCCCGCGUUGGAUUAGGUAGUUGGUGGGGUAAUGGCCUACCAAGCCGACGAUCCAUAGCUGGUUUGAGAGGAUGAUCAGCCACACUGGGACUGAGACACGGCCCAGACUCCUACGGGAGGCAGCAAUGGGGAAUCCUAGACAAUGGGCGGAAGCCUGAUCUAGCCAUGCCGCGUGAUCGAUGAAGGCCUUAGGGUUGUAAAGAUCUUUCAGGUGGGAAGAUAAUGACUGUACCACCAGAAGAAGCCCCGGCUAACUCCGUGCCAGCCGCCGCCGUAAAAC
rnacentral:rRNA from 1 species